UACGUAGGGUGCGAGCGUUACUCGGAAUUACUGGGCGUAAAGCGUGCGCAGGCGGUUAUGUAAGACAGGUGUGAAAUCCCCGGGCUUAACCUGGGAGCUGCGCUUGUGACUGCACAGCUAGAGUAUGGCAGAGGGGGGUGGAAUUCCACGUGUAGCAGUGAAAUGCGUAGAGAUGUGGAGAAAAACCGAUGGCGAAGGCAGCCCCCUGGGCCAAUACUGACGCUCAUGCACGAAAGCGUGGGGAGCAAACAGG
rnacentral:misc_RNA from 1 species